AUUUCAGUUGUAGUGUUGCUUUUCUGCUCUUUUAUCUUGCCAGUUCCCUUUGGGAGGGGGAGUACUGACUUUUUGCUCAUUUAAAAUCAGACUUAUUCAGGUUGAAAUUGUCUCUUCUGUUUGCAAAAAGGAAGAUAGGAAGCAUUUGCAUCCCACUAUGAAAGAGGAAGACUGCUCAUGUAUGCGUGUCUGAAUGCUCCAUAAUCUGAGCAUUUUGUCUUUUUCUCUGAAAUAUGAUUUUUUUUUCUCAGCCAAAACCAUCUCUACCUCAUACUUUUCCUCCUUAAGAAGGUUUGAGUAUUUUCAGCCUCGUCUGUGUUUACUCUUGUAGCCUGAACUGAGCCCUUUCCACUGAUUACCCAUAGUGAUUCAGGUUAGAUUUCAGCUGAUUUGCACCCCAGGUUGCCACUGAAUAAUCCUGUGCUCUUUUAAAGUGCAACCACUGCCUCCAUGCAGUACAAGUGGGAUUUGAAGCUUGCAGGUCCUUUGUAGGUGUUUUUAGUAUGCAACAAACAAAUCUGAAGUAAUUAUACGAAAACAAAUGAUGCUGAAGCAUAAUACUACCUGUCCAGUUUAACUGUGCAGUGAUGCUCUAAGACCAGGUGCUGCAAACCUUUUGGAAUGAAAAAACUCCACGGAGACCCCUUUCCCAGAGUAGAGAUACCCCAGCUGUUCUCAGACAACACUGGCAUCCACGUUCCCUUAAGUUUGUCACCCCUUUUGCUCAGAAAUGAGGACUUUCCUCCUUUCCUCCCUUCCUUCUACACAGUCCUGGGUUUCACUAAGAGCUGGCUGCAUUUCACUGUCAACUGAGCUGAACCACAGGGAUGAAUAUUCCCUUCUGCUUCAUCAAGAAAAAAAUGCUUAAGACAUCAGAAGCUAGCUGCAGAAGAAAUCUGGCUUUUCUGUGUAUUCUUCAGCUGUCAUCUCUCUGGAGAAGACCAUUUAAUAAAGCUCCAGCAGGACCUUUGAAAUGACAGGAAAGAAGGGUUUACCUGCUCAGCCCUUUCCCCUGGUUGAGCCUGUAGCUGUUGGUGAGCAGUUCCCCAAGAUGCUGCAGCUUCAUCCAUUUCUCUGCAAAGAGAGAGAAGUGUUAAAAUAAGAGCAGCUGAUGGAAAAGCAGCCAAGAGCUAGAUGUGCAGGGAAGAGGGGAGAGAUGUGGCUCUCCCAUCAUUUCCAUGUUAGGGGGUUGCAUGGCUGGAAAAUGGAGAGACAGAUGGAUUGCAUAUCCCCUUUUUCACUCCCCCAGUCCUAUCAGAAAGGUGAAAGAAAGAGGCCUACAAAGCAACAAAGUAGUGAUUUAGCCAGGACAGGAUCUUGUGUAUCAACUCUGCAAGGGCUCAUACAAAUACACACACCUUUGGCUGCUGGAACCUGUUUGAAAGCCAGAAGGAACAUGAGCCAGAAGACCAGGUCACCC